CGUGAGGUCUAUCCCGACAGACCUUUAACUGUAGGGCCGUGUCGUUGGAAAUGCCUCACAGAGGGAAUCUGUAGUUGUGCUUUACCCACGUGUUCACUGCUAUGAGUAUAGUGGGAUAUUACUGCAGGACAUGU